GGGWAGHGMWUGGAAGGUGCGGGUGCGCUCAGGCUUAUGCGUCUCUAACGAGCCGCUGUAUGUGCUGAGUGCUGGUCAGCAUGGGUUGAUCCGGCGGGAUAACAACGGAGGUUGAUAAUCCGUCAAUGCCGCCGGGUCGACCAAGGUGUGAAUGGCGCUCGGUCCUCUGGAACUGCGUCAUCAAGAUGCUGGCGGAAGCUUUCCAACCGGCCCGUCUUGAAACACGGACCAAGGAGUCUAACAUGUAUGCGAGUUGGUGGGUGGAAAACCCAUGAAGCGCAAGUAACCUGACUGGUGGGACGGCGCARGCCUGCACCAUCGACCGACCAUGAUCUUCUGUGAAAGGUUUGAGUGCGAGCAUACCUGUUGGGACCCGAAAGAUGGUGAACUAUGCCUGAGCAGGGUGAAGCCAGAGGAAACUCUGGUGGAGGCUCGUAGAUGUGCUGACGUGCAAAUCGCUUUUCGGACUUGGGUAUAGGGGCGAAAGACUAAUCGAACCAUCUAGUAGCUGGUUCCCUCCGAAGUUUCCCCCAGGAUAGCUGGAGCUUGAUUCAGUUGUAUCAGGUAAAGCGAAUGAUUAGAGGUUCGGGGGAUGUAACAUCCUUCACCUAUUCUCAAACUUUAAAUAGGUACGACGCGUAGCUUGCUUAAUUGAAGCUGCGCAGUCAAUGUGAGCUCCAAGUGGGCCAUUUUUGGUAAGCAGAACUGGCGAUGCGGGAUGAACCGAUAGUCGAGUUAAGGCSCCUAACUGCGCGCUAACCUAGAUCCCACAAAGGGUGUUGAUUGAUAUAGACAGCAGGACGGUGGUCAUGGAAGUCGAAAUCCGCUAAGGAGUGUGUAACAACUCACCUGCCGAAUCAAUUAGCCCCGAAAAUGGAUGGCGCUUAAGCGCGCGGCCUAUACUCGGCCAUGGAGAUAAGUGCGAGAUCUCCAUGAGUAGGAGGGCGUGGGUGUCGUUGCGCAKNYWRA
rnacentral:rRNA from 1 species